UUCCUUUUCCUGUUCUGCCCUCCUGAAACAAGGGUUCUUCUUUCUGUCAGCUCUCUUUCAGCAAGGUAUCCUUGAGGACAUGAACUCCUGUGGAAUUCUAGUCACCACCUUACUCAUCGUCUAUAGUGUGGCUGAUCAGGAGAAAAGGCAUCGAAUAGAGAUCCGGCUACUGCAGAAGCAGCCUGUGCCUAAAGAAGGAAACGUGACUUUCCACUGUAAGAUCCCAGGAAACAGCAGUUUAAGUGACAACCACACCUAUAAGAUCCAUCUUCUUCGGGAUGGAGAUGUCGUCAGGAGCCACAAGUGGAACAGACGACAAUCAGGAGCCGAGUUUAUUAUUCAGAGAGUAACCAAGGCGAACGAAGGAACCUACUCCUGUGAAAUCAGUAGUGAGGGAUUCUUCCAGUCAUCACCGAGCCUCUCUUCCGUCUAUCUUCAGGUGGCAGGUAGUAACACAUGGCCGAUCAUCGUGCUGGCAGUAGCAGGAACUGGACUCUUGUGUGUGUUCCUUGUCACAUUCUGGGUGUCAAGGAAGUCGAAGACAAGGAGAACCCCGACAACACAGACAAGGUUUAAUUGUAAUGCCGAUGUUUAUUAUAAUGGUAAGGAUGUUUAUUAUAAUGUGGGACCACAAGUCAAUGUCCCGAAUAACCAAAACACCCAAAGUCCCAGCAGCCCAGACUCUUAUGCUGUAUACUACAUACUUUCCACGGGAAAAAAGGAAAGUCAAGAUGGCUACCCCUGAGAUUGAGUGUGAAGUGAAAGACAAGGUUCUGGUGCACGUGGAGUGGCUGUGUGCAAACAAGAAUCAAAUAUCCAGAGCUGUGCUUGUUCUUCUCGGCUGAGAGUAAAUCCACCGAACUAAGGGACAGCAAUACCGAGAGAGCCUUUGCCGAAGAACUCAUCCAUACUGACAGCUGUGAUUCCUUCUGAUCAACAUGAGAAUAAACUCUAUUCUGUCAGGCUG